GACGAUGCCACGAACCCAUGCGCCACAAACCGACGCGUCGUCGUCGACGCCCUACCGACUUCUCUUCCUCUUCCUCCUUUCCUCUCUCGCGUUGUUCGCCCUCUCUCGUCUAACCUUCCUGAUGCCAACGUCGAUCGAUGCUUUUAUCCUGCGUCCUUCUCCUCCGCAGCCAGUUAAAUGUCACUUCUCGCGCCACCGUUUGAACGUAUUCUUUGACAGAGUCCUGGUAUCCUCGGUAUUCCGCGUGUGACACGCAUCGGCAUACGUUUUUCGAUCUUUGUAUCGGGCGAGCCCCUUGAAAACAUUGCGACCGCUGGGAAUUGCGGUAGGUCUCAGAGUGGGAAACAAAGUCGAGUGGUUUGAGGUACGAAGAGGAAGUUUCUGCGUUAGGCAUUCGACCUAGUCCUGUCUGAUAACUUUCGUUGUAAAUGUAUCGGGUGACUGUUAAGAAAUUAUCUCUAAUUAAGCAAUAUUUUUAAUAUAUUGCUAAUAUUUUAAUAAUAGCAAAAGGAAGACGAGACAAAGUGAAAUAUCGUUUAUACGUAUGCUACUAAUAGCGUUCAUUUAUGAUUAUUUUAAUAGAUACGUUGAAAGAAUUUAUUCAGUUAGUCGAUGGUGAAGUAAAAUACUUUUAACGAGAAAACUUUGAAAUAUUUUACAGUGUAGAAUAUUUACAUUAUAAAUUUCAGAGGAUAAAAGUAUACAGGACAAAUUUACGCAAGGUAACGACACAAUUUUCACAUCCUACACUUUACAAAAUCGGACCAAGUUCUAUCACUUGGUAUUUUGAAACAAUGGUUCCACUGUUUCGAAACAAUUGCCAUUCACAAUGUCGACAGCUACUCUUCCUCUCAGAAAGCUUUUAACACUUUGUAACAGAAUUUACAACGAGACUAGGUAUACGUUUAAUCUUUGAUUGGUAUGACGAUGAAGAGAGAAAAAGGACAAGUGACGUAACCGUGGGAACUUAUGGAAGAGAGUGGUCGUCCCUCGAGGCAUAAAGAGAUUUUAAUUACACGUAUAUUCUUAUAAAAACCUAGUUAUACUUUUUAUGAAAAAAGGUUCCUCGUUUCAAGUACUCGGUUCUUACUGUCGAUGAACGGAAAGAGGUUUGUAAUUAAUCUAAUAAGCAGACCUAAAUUAUUUAGAUACACUGUGUCAACGAAUAGUUUAAUUAAAUGGUCAUCGAUAAUGAGCGGAUGCUUUGUACGUGCUGUCACUUGCCAAGAAGCUGUUGGCACUUUUGCAAGGGACUAUCGGUGAGUGUCGUUCGCGAAACAUUGAAGCAGCACUCCGAUGCUAUUAACGAAUCGCAACAAGAGGUCCACGAUUCUAUUUCCUUCGGUGACGAGGCGUGCGACAGACAAUUUACAUUGACUCUUUUUUUAUUUUCAGAUAAACGAGCAAAGCUGAAUUACUGACAGCGAGAGAGUCACGUUUUUCCAAAGGAAAUCGACGGAGCGCCUACGCGAUGCUAACUGUUUCGAGAAUAUCAUCGACCCAUAUCAAAAUUUUGGAAGAACAGAAAUCAGAAAAGUUGUGUCAGAAAUAGCUACGCUGACUAAUGGACGAACUAGACGCAAGUCGGAAUACAAAUUAGGAGACUACGCAUAUGCUUCGUUUAAACAUAUGGCUACGAAUACUAUGACAUGGCCUACUACAGGGCGUUUCAGAAGAAAUUACUCUGACAGAGUGUAAGUUACCCACUAGUAUACGUAAAAUCGAAUAAAAUAGUCCAUUAUACGCGUAAACAUACAAAAUUUAACAAAAUCGUAAACUUUUUUAUGACAAUCGUAAAAUUGCGGACAAGAAAAUAUCGUCUAAAAAUUAAGAUCUAUGCUUACGAACCAAAAAACUGUCUGCUUCAAAACUUAGAUAAAUAAAAAAUAAUUCAAAGCUACGAUUAAAAAUUAACUCACUGCUUAACCAACGUAAACGUAUUCCAAAAUAAACUGACCCAAACUGAAAUAAAUUGAUAAACAGACCAAUACAAUGCGUCACUGCUACGUAAUAUCGUCCAAACAUCGCGUGCCAACAUAAGACGAGAGUGUAGAUUUCAUUCACAAAUCAUCAAAGCGCACUGAAACAAAUGUUUCUGACGAAAUCAUCCAGAGUACCGCUCUAUCGCAAAUUUACCAUUUGCCAAAUGAUAGAUUUUUGGAAUCUUCCGAUCGAUCUGAAUUUUGAGACAGAAAAAUGUCAGUAGUAGCAAUCAUGAACAACCCGCGGCAGGUGCUUCGUCACACUUAUAAAUAGGCUGGACAUCGUCGUCUAUUCCUCCUACACAGUUCAACGUAGAAGUAUGCAGAUCGCACGCGUACAGGGGCACCUGUGCGUGAACGAUCAAUAAUGACUGAUCCAUAACCUUUGUACGAUGAAUUUCAUGCAUCUAGCGUGUUCCAAAAGAGUUUGUACGCAAACCAAUUCAUAUGCAAAUUGCAUUCUUGCCAAUUUUUUGCGGUAGGUCCGGCACGUGGUUCGAAAUAAGCGAGUUAAAAAAAAAUUUCAUGUUCCAGAAGAUUAACACUGGGUUUUUUAAUGUCCCAGAGCAAUUUUUAUUGCAAAGUACUCGUAAUAUUCCAGUAACUCGUAAAUCUCAGAACUCAUCUAAGAUCGAUAGUUUAUAAUAUUAUAAUAAUUUAUAAUAUUUCUACGUUGAGAUUUUGUGGAAACUUACUGACUCUUGAGAUGACUUUGAAUUCGGUAGUCGAUUUUCCCGAUAUUUAAUACCCUAAUAUUUUCCUAUUUUAGUGUUUUAUUAAUCUGCUAUUUCCAUUUCUUUUACGCUGCAGUGCGGUAAACUUAACUAACUCAACUUAAUCGAUUGCCAGACACAAGCGUGGUUUCGUUAAAAACGAUACAGUCGAUGAUAUAACUAAGCAGUGAUUAUUCGAACAUUUCUUAGAAGCUCAUUAAAUUCAUAUAUUCAACGCGCGCAUAAAUUUUAUGCAUCUUUCGUAAACGUUGGCAAUGUAUCCAUCGUGUUUCGAGUUUAGAAUCGUUUUAGAGACAGACGAAAAAUGAUAACACGUGUAAACGAAUAUUUCCAACUUCAUAAAACGUGCGGCUUACUUGUUCCACGCACUUAUCCAACAAAAACAGCCACAAAAGGAUAGCGCAUCAUAUGGUGGAAUACGCGACUCCAUUUGCGCAAGAUGCAAUAAUAAACACUGGAAUUGUUCGAAUGAAUUAGCGGUUUCCCGAUAAUUAUUGUAUUUACAAUUUAAACCGCAAGUUUCUCGCGUGAUCCGCAAUAACAAGUUCUUUAUACCGCAAUAUAAAUAUUAUUUGCGAUGAAAGAAAUGUGGAUUAUCAAUAAUUCUUAAUCAAUUUUAUAAAUUUCACCUUCCACGAGCGUUUCUCAAGGGUAGUAAAUAAUCCAUAAAGUUUCUCAAUUGGCAAUGGAAUGUUCAUUGAUUUCGUGCUUGCCAAAAAUAUCGCUGAACAUCGGCAUUGGAACAUCGGUUUUUCGUUAGAUCAUUGUCAAUGUCUAUCUUGAACGUUACGUCGCACAGAAGUAACGUUUCUUAGAGAUAGCUGCCAAUAAAAACGAAUUUUCGUCGACGUGUUCCGAAGCAUUUAAUCUUAAUCUAGCAUUCGUAUCGUUUUGUAGGAAACUUAAUUUUUAUAAAAUUUUUAUAAAAACUGUCUCGUCCAAUGAAAAAUUUCACACGCCAUAAUUCUUCAAAAUUCAUUGCUUAUACACAGCUACGUGAUUAAUACUAAUUAUUACUCGUAAUUUAUUAUUUUUAAUUAUCAUCUUAAAUUUAUCAAAUAAGAAAAGAGAUAAAUUUGCCAUCGUCAGGAAUUAUCAUUAAGAACCGCGUAAAAACGUGCAAAUAUGUACACUGUUGCUAAGAAAUACUCACUUUGAAGCUGUUGUAUCGUAGCCUGAUACUCGGCAAGCUUCUCAUCCACGUAAUCUUGACUUUGGUUUGCUAUUAUCUCCGCGGUACUGGGUCCGCUAGACUCUUCUUCCGUUUGCGAGUGAUCCAAUGGCACUCCAACAUAUUCGUAUUCGCCGGGUCUGUACGUUCCAAUCAUGUAUUCUGGUGGUCCACUGACUAAGGGCGGUGUUGCGCCACUUUCCAACGAACUCUGUUAAAACGCACCAAAAAAUGAGAACAGGGAAAUAUAUGUACGUUACUUUAUUACAAAUACUGCUAAUAAAAUAUAACAAACUUUUAUACGACAGAUGUUCCAAUUUUAAAUUAAACUUUUCUUAACAACAUUACAAAUUGCCAAAAUGAGAGGAAGAUUAAAAUAUAAAAAUUCGAGGGUGGUUUUCUAAUACUUUCUCAUUUUUUCCCAUCCCUUGUCGUUCUUCCCCUCAUCUUUUAUUCCUUUUCAUUUCUUUCCUCUUUCCUUGUUCUUCGGGCGAUAAGCAGAUAAUAGAAUAAUUCAGAAAAAAUCAUUUUCUACUUCCAAUAAAUUACCACAUAAUUAUUUUACAAUACACUGUGCCGUACAUCUACUAUGCAUGCUCCCAUACGUAUUACUUUUCUUUUUAAUGCCUAAUUUAAAUUAUAUGUAAGUCACGUAUCUCGUUAUUUUAUCAUCUUCCAUUUCCACGUAUUGCCACACGAUCCAUAUUCAUCUUCCCUGUUCAUCCCCUCUACUCGAACGUGAGAAACAGCGAAACAAACAAUAGCGAGGUGCACAACAAUGUUCGCGAAUCUUUAUCCAAAGAAUAUACGUAAAUUCUGCCAUGUUAGCGGUGCAUUCACACCUGGCGCGCGUUUGAGAAAACCGGUCGUUGGAACUCGCCGCGGCCUACAUUUUAUUUAGGUGUUCCUAUUUCGUCGUGUUGCCUCGGCCAGUCAGACAGGCGUUCGCGUGGGCGUGAAAAACGAACGGUACACGUGGCGAAUUUUCACUGUGAAGCAGCCCGGAUCUUCUUCGAUACGCCUGGAUGUUUCUUUGAGAAGCAUUCGUAAU